rnacentral:rRNA from 1 species
GGCAUGCAAGUCGAACGGAUGACAGAGAGCUUGCUCUCUGAAGUCAGUGGCGCACGAGUGAGUAACGCGUGGGAAACUGCCCUUCACUGGGGAAUAACGUUUGGAAACGAACGCUAAUACCGCAUACGCCCGCAAGGGGAAAGAUUUAUCGGUGAUGGAUGUGCCCGCGUUGGAUUAGCUAGUUGGUGGGGUAAUGGCCUACCAAGGCGAUGAUCCAUAGCUGGUCUGAGAGGACGAUCAGCCACGCUGGAACUGAGACACGGUCCAGACUCCUACGGGAGGCAGCAGCUAAGAAUAUUGGGCAAUGGAAGGAAACUCUGACCCAGCCCAUGCCGCGUGAAUGAAGAAGGUCCUUCGGGUUGUAAAGUUCUUUUAGUCAUGAAGAUGAUGACAGUAGUGACAGAAAAAGCACCGGCUAACUUCGUGCCAGCCGCCGC